rnacentral:rRNA from 1 species
AUUGAACGCUGGCGGCAUGCUUUUACACAUGCAAGUCGAGCGGCAGCGCGGGGGCGAACCCUGGCGGCGAGCGGCGAACGGGUGAGUAAUACAUCGGAACGUGUCCCGUAGUGGGGGAUAGCCCGGCGAAAGCCGGAUUAAUACCGCAUAUGCUCUACGGAGGAAAGUGGGGGACUCGCAAGGGCCUCACGCUAUGGGAGCGGCCGAUGUCCGAUUAGCUUGUUGGCGGGGUAAUGGCCCACCAAGGCGACGAUCGGUAGCUGGUCUGAGAGGAUGAUCAGCCACACUGGGACUGAGACACGGCCCAGACUCCUACGGGAGGCAGCAGUGGGGAAUUUUUGGACAAUGGGGGGAACCCUGAUCCAGCCAUGCCGCGUG